rnacentral:rRNA from 1 species
UACAGAGGGGGCAAGCGUUGUUCGGAAUUACUGGGCGUAAAGGGCGCGUAGGCGGCCUGUUAAGUCGAACGUGAAAUCCCCCGGGCUCAACCCGGGAACUGCGUCCGAUACUGGCAGGCUUGAAUCCGGGAGAGGGAUGCGGAAUUCCUGGUGUAGCGGUGGAAUGCGCAGAUAUCAGGAGGAACACCAAUAGCGAAGGCAGCUCGCUGGGACGGUACUGACGCUAAGGCGCGAAAGCGUGGGGAGCGAACGAGG